ensembl:lncRNA
CACACACAGACACACACACACACACACACACUCACCACAGACACACACACAGACACAAACACAUACAUACAGAGACACACACACACAUACAUACAGAGACACACAGACACACACACAGAGACACACACACACACAGACAGACAGACAGACACACACACACACACACACACACACACACACACACACACAGAGAGAGACACACACACACAGAGACACACACAGAGACACACACACACACACACACACACACACACACACACACACACACAUACACUCACACACACAGACACAGACACACACACACAGACACACACAGACACACACACAGAGACACACACACACACACACACACACACACACACACUCACAUUUCAGCUAGAGAGGAAGCCGUCCUCCUGGUUUUGGGUGUGUGAUUAAAACCAGGACAGGGGAAUCUAAACAUAUACAGUAUAUAUAUAUAUGUGUAUACAGAUCGAUAUUGUAUUCAGAAAGUUUUAAUUUUACUAACAAGAUUUAGACGAGUCAGUACAGAAAAAAAACAAUUAUUUUAGAGAUGACAGUUAGUCUUAUGAUGUGUGUGUAAGAGAAUCAUUUUAAAUACUCCAUGUUAUAUCAGAUUGGGUAAAGUGUGGAUGUGUGUGUGUGUGUGUGUGUGUGUGUGUGUGUGUGUCCCUGCUGGUCAGAGAGCUCAGUGCCUGGAGAAUAAAGAUGGUGAAUUGUGUGUGUGUGUGUGUGUGUGUGUGUGUGUGUGUGUGUGUGUGUGUGUGACACCCCCCCUCCUCUGUAAUUUAUUCAGAUGUGUAUUUUUAAACCUGCUAACUGUGAUCCAGAUUCUCUCUUGGAGGAGACUGGGGAACUAACGGCAGUUAACAUUUCACUUUUAAGGGACCAAAACAACCCAAUGUUUGUAAGAGCACAAUCAGUCUUAUCUGUGUGUGUGUGCGUGUGUGUGUGUGUGUGUGUGUGUGUGUGUGAGAGAGAGUAAUCCAUCAGUAGUUAGGGCUUUUCUCUUGGUUGGCAAACGGAGCUGUCUACCUGUCUUAAAAAACUACAAUAGAGAGCAUCACAGAAACUCUUCCGGUUUCCAACACAAAUACGGCCACAUGCUAGCAGAGCUUUUAGAAUGCUAACGGGGAAUGCUUUGGGAACACACGCCAUUCAGAUAUUUACAUUUACAUUUACAUUUAGUCAUUUAGCAGACGCUUUUGUCCAAAGCGAGGUACAAGGGAGAGAACAGUCAAGCUAAGAGCAAUAAAAAACAUGGUGUAACAAUAAAUACUACUUUACAUAAGAAUUAGAAAAACGACCUAGAAAGGAAAAAGAAGUGCAGGAAUGUAACUGCUGAAGUGCAAGUUAAGCGCUAGUCAAGGUGCCAGUUAGGAAGGGAGGUGCUCUCUGAAGAGUUGGGUCUUCAAAAGCUUCUUGAAGGUAGAGAGGGACGCCCCUGCUCUGGUAGUACUAGGAUGGUUUCAAUACAUAUUUCUUUUGGUAAGCCCUGUAAAUGUUCAUUCUAUCCACUAGCUAUGGUGAAAUACCAAAACACAUCACCAACAGAGGUCAUUACAGAGUCCUUUACAACCCAAUACAAUUCCCAUUAUAACCACUAAAGCCAUUAGAAUGUCUGUGAUAGUUGUGAUUUGCUUUGAUCUGUCAUCAACAAUAUGGCAUUUAUUUUCUUUGUUAUUGUUUGGUUCAAGAGUAUCCUAGGCGACAGAGCAGGCGGCAGACAUUCCAUUUAGAAUGUUAGGGGCCAACGGUCCUUUGUGAUGUCACAGACAGACGUGCAGACGUGUGCAUCUGCAUCAGGUUUUACUUCCUGUAUUCCAUAAAACGUGGAAGUCAAGAGUUCCGACUGCCAUUCCGAGCCAUGUCCUCAGUGUUCCCGUGUGUGUGUGUGUGUGUGUGUGUGUGUGUGUGUGUGUGUGUGUGUGUGUGUGUGUGUGUGUGUGUGUGUGUGUGUGUGUUCCUGGAGGAACAGAGGCUUAGGACUCAAGCGCUACAGACUGGACAGAUUCUGAGCUGCGGUUUGUUAGUCGUUUUGGAGUUUGUUUUUUGGCUAUCAAUGUGGAGCAGAUAUAUUGAGUACAGAAUGUGUUGUAGGACGGCAGGGGAGGUUUACAGAAAGACUCAGGUGCCAGGGUUCAGAGGAGCCAGGACUGCACUGCAGGGACAGAAGUGAAGUUAGGAUGUAUUAGAAUAUUGUGUGUGUGUGUGUGUAUUUUUGUGGGAAACUUAAAGCGUCAGUUGUUCCUCUGUGUGUGUGUGUGUGUUGGACUGGAUCAACUAAAAACUGAAACUGGACCAAACUGAAGCCACUGUGUGAGAUGGGGGUGGUGUGUGUGUGUGUGUGUGUGUGUGAGAUGGGGGUGGUGUGUGUGUGUGUGUGUGUGUGUGUGAGAGAGAGAGAGAGUGGGGCGCGAGCUACAGGCUUCAGACAGGGGCUUCUUUAUCUGCCACAUGAGUGAAUGUGUGUGUGUGUGUGUGUGUGUGUGUGUGUGUGUGUGCGUGCGUGCGACACUCUUGACUGUCUGUGUUUGAUUUAUAUUGCUUUCACAAACAAAAAAUUCUGGGGGGAAAGAUUUCAAUCCAACUGUAGCCUUGAGCUAAAGGCCCAUGACGAUGUGAUGAAGAUGAGAUGAUGAAACCGAGUGAUUCUGAUGAUGAAGAGGGUUUGUAAUUUGGCUGUGAGUUUUUAUAAAGCACCCCUCUGUGUGUGUGUUGAUUUUUGUACCUGGGACACUUUGCCACACUGUCGCUUCGACCUUUGACCUUUGACCUUUCCACUCCAUGACCUGUCCCCUUUGACCCCCAGCACUGCGCUGCGUUUUCAUUGGCUCAUGUGGGCACAUGCGGUAUGUGUGUGUGUUAUGCCUGUUGUGACUCGUACUUUAAUAAAUGUCUCCGAUCAUCACCA